rnacentral:rRNA from 1 species
CCCUGAUGCACAAGGUACUCUAAAUAAACUUUUUAAAUUUUAAAAUUUAAAAAUAAAUAUAAAUUUCCUUUACAGUAAAUUAAUAAAAACUAUUCUAAUUAUUAUACACAUUAUUUAUUACUUUAAAAUAAUUCUUUUUAAAUAAUUUUUUAUAUAAAAAAU